rnacentral:tmRNA from 1 species
UUUCUUGCCAAUUUCUUUUUAUAGGUUAAAAUAGGAAUGUAGCCCAAUUUUUUGGGUUAAUAUGGCGAUAAACCUAAUGUAAAAUAGAUGUUUUGCGGACUCGGGGGCGGUACCCGACACCUCCACCAUCUUUUUUAAGAAUUUAAAUAACAUUAUUUUCUUUAGAAAGAUGGUUGGUCAAAUAUAUUUGACCAUAUAUUCUUAUUUAAGAUGGGGGUGAAUAUAGCUUCGACGCGCAUAAUAAAAAUAUUGGCUUUGCCCGGCGUAAACUGCCGAUUUAGAAAUCUUUUGAUUUUUAAAUAUUCGUUUAAAUAAAGUAAAUGCAAACGAUAAUUUUGCAAAUGAUAAUAUGAAAUUUACCAAAGUAGCAAUCGCCGCUUAGUAUAACUCAGUAUUAUCGGGGCCUGGGGUUUGCCUGUCAACAGAAAAGCCCCGCU